UUUCAAGACAGUUUGGUUUGGGUUUUCAUGAAGAUUUUCCUUAUUCGUUAUGCUGCCUGAAUUUGAUUUUCCUUUAUCGACUCAAUAUCCAGAAAAUAGAUUUCAGCUGUUGUCGGCGAGAAAUUGAUUUGGAUCCGUUUUGGGUUUCUUGAAGAUUUUCCUUAUUCGUUAUGCUGCCUAAAUUUGAUUUUCCGACAUAUUUCGGUUUAACCAGUGAUUUGAGUUGUGCGCAAUUUCAUCGGAUAUAAGUUGUAUAUGUAGACGUACAUUUGUGUGGAUCACCUUCCAACAACUCCAUGGGAAGGCUAUGUAUGUGUUUGUGCAGGGUUUUCUUGAAGAUUUUCCUUAUUCGUUAUGCUGCCUGAAUUUGAUUUUCCGACAUAUUUCGGUUUAACCAGUGAUUUGAGUUGUGCGCAAUUUCAUCGGAUAUAAGUUGUAUAUGUAGACGUACAUUUGUGUGGAUCACCUUCCAACAACUCCAUGGGAAGGCUAUGUAUGUGUUUGUGCAGGGUUUUCUUGAAGAUUUUCCUUAUUCGUUAUGCUGCCUGAAUUUGAUUUUCCGACAUAUUUCGGUUUAACCAGUGAUUUGAGUUGUGCGCAAUUUCAUCGGAUAUAAGUUGUAUAUGUAGACGUACAUUUGUGUGGAUCACCUUCCAACAACUCCAUGGGAAGGCUAUGUAUGUGUUUGUGCAGGGUUUUCUUGAAGAUUUUCCUUAUUCGUUAUGCUGCCUGAAUUUGAUUUUCCUUUAUCGACUCAAUAUCCAGAAAAUAUAUUUCAGCUGUUGUCGGCGAGAAAUUGAUUUGGAUCCGUUUUGGGUUUCUUGAAGAUUUUCCUUAUUCGUUAUGCUGCCUGAAUUUGAUUUUCCGACAUAUUUCGGUUUAACCAGUGAUUUGAGUUGUGCGCAAUUUCAUCGGAUAUAAGUUGUAUAUGUAGACGUACAUUUGUGUGGAUCACCUUCCAACAACUCCAUGGGAAGGCUAUGUAUGUGUUUGUGCAGGGUUUUCUUGAAGAUUUUCCUUAUUCGUUAUGCUGCCUGAAUUUGAUUUUCCGACAUAUUUCGGUUUAACCAGUGAUUUGAGUUGUGCGCAAUUUUAUCGGAUAUAAGUUGUAUAUGUAGACGUACAUUUGUGUGGAUCACCUUCCAACAACUCCAUGGGAAGGCUAUGUAUGUGUUUGUGCAGGGUUUUCUUGAAGAUUUUCCUUAUUCGUUAUGCUGCCUGAAUUUGAUUUUCCGACAUAUUUCGGUUUAACCAGUGAUUUGAGUUGUGCGCAAUUUCAUCGGAUAUAAGUUGUAUAUGUAGACGUACAUUUGUGUGGAUCACCUUCCAACAUCUCCAUGGGAAGGCUAUGUAUGUGUAUGUGUAGGGUUUUCUUGAAGAUUUUCCUUAUUCGUUAUGCUGCCUAAAUUUGAUUUUCCGACAUAUUUCGGUUUAACCAGUGAUUUGAGUUGUGCGCAAUUUCAUCGGAUAUAAGUUGUAUAUGUAGACGUACAUUUGUGUGGAUCACCUUCCAACAUCUCCAUGGGAAGGCUAUGUAUGUGUAUGUGUAGGGUUUUCUUGAAGAUUUUCCUUAUUCGUUAUGCUGCCUAAAUUUGAUUUUCCGACAUAUUUCGGUUUAACCAGUGAUUUGAGUUGUGCCCAAUUUCAUCGGAUAUAAGUUGUAUGUGUAGACGUAAAUUUGUUUGGAUCACCUUCACAAACAUCUCCAUGGGAAGGCUAUGUAUGUGUUUGUGCAGGGUUUUCUUGAAGAUUUUCCUUAUUCGUUAUGCUGCCUGAAUUUGAUUUUCCUUUAUCGACUCAAUAUCCAGAAAAUAUAUUUCAGCUGUUGUCGGCGAGAAAUUGAUUUGGAUCCGUUUUGGGUUUCUUGAAGAUUUUCCUUAUUCGUUAUGCUGCCUGAAUUUGAUUUUCCGACAUAUUUCGGUUUAACCAGUGAUUUGAGUUGUGCGCAAUUUCAUCGGAUAUAAGUUGUAUAUGUAGCCGUACAUUUGUGUGGAUCACCUUCCAACAACUCCAUGGGAAGGCUAUGUAUGUGUUUGUGCAGGGUUUUCUUGAAGAUUUUCCUUAUUCGUUAUGCUGCCUGAAUUUGAUUUUCCGACAUAUUUCGGUUUAACCAGUGAUUUGAGUUGUGCGCAAUUUCAUCGGAUAUAAGUUGUAUAUGUAGACGUACAUUUGUGUGGAUCACCUUCCAACAACUCCAUGGGAAGGCUAUGUAUGUGUUUGUGCAGGGUUUUCUUGAAGAUUUUCCUUAUUCGUUAUGCUGCCUGAAUUUGAUUUUCCGACAUAUUUCGGUUUAACCAGUGAUUUGAGUUGUGCC